GUUUCGGCGGCCAUAGCGAGAGGGAAACGCCCGGUUACAUUCCGAACCCGGAAGCUAAGACUCUUUGCGCCGAUGGUACUGCACGGGGGACCGUGUGGGAGAGUAGGACACCGCCGGACU
rnacentral:rRNA from 1 species